rnacentral:rRNA from 1 species
GGCGGCGUGCUUAACACAUGCAAGUCGAACGAUGAAGCCCAGCUUGCUGGGUGGAUUAGUGGCGAACGGGUGAGUAACACGUGAGUAACCUGCCCCCGACUCUGGGAUAAGCCCGGGAAACUGGGUCUAAUACCGGAUAUUACCUCUUGCCGCAUGGCAGGUGGUGGAAAGAUUUAUCGGUGGGGGAUGGACUCGCGGCCUAUCAGCUUGUUGGUGAGGUAAUGGCUCACCAAGGCGACGACGGGUAGCCGGCCUGAGAGGGUGACCGGCCACACUGGGACUGAGACACGGCCCAGACUCCUACGGGAGGCAGCAGUGGGGAAUAUUGCACAAUGGGCGAAAGCCUGAUGCAGCGACGCCGCGUGAGGGAUGACGGCCUUCGGGUUGUAAACCUCUUUCAGUAGGGAAGAAGCGAAAGUGACGGUACCUGCAGAAGAAGCGCCGGCUAACUACGUGCCAGCAGCCGCGGUAAUACGUAGGGCGCAAGCGUUAUCCGGAUUUAUUGGGCGUAAAGAGCUCGUAGGCGGUUUGUCGCGUCUGCCGUGAAAGUCCGAGGCUCAACCUCGGAUCUGCGGUGGGUACGGGCAGACUAGAGUGAUGUAGGGGAGACUGGAAUUCCUGGUGUAGCGGUGAAAUGCGCAGAUAUCAGGAGGAACACCGAUGGCGAAGGCAGGUCUCUGGGCAUUUACUGACGCUGAGGAGCGAAAGCAUGGGGAGCGAACAGGAUUAGAUACCCUGGUAGUCCAUGCCGUAAACGUUGGGCACUAGGUGUGGGGGACAUUCCACGUUUUCCGCGCCGUAGCUAACGCAUUAAGUGCCCCGC